rnacentral:rRNA from 1 species
CGCGAACCUGCCUGUAAGACUGGGAUAACUUCGGGAAACCGGAGCUAAUACCGGAUAACACCGAGGACCUCAUGGUCCUUGGUUGAAAGAUGGCUUCGGCUAUCACUUACAGAUGGCCCGGCGGCGCAUUAGCUAGUUGGUGAGGUAACGGCUCACCAAGGCGACGAUGCGUAGCCGACCUGAGAGGGUCUAGGGCCACACUGGGACUGAGACACGGCCCAGACUCCUACGGGAGGCAGCAGUAGGGAAUCUUCCGCAAUGGACGAAAGUCUGACGGAGCAACGCCGCGUGUGCGAUGAAGGCCUUCGGGUCGUAAAGCUCUGUUGUUAGGGAAGAACAAGUACCUUUCGAAUAGGGCGGUACCUUGACGGUACCUAACCAGAAAGCCACGGCUAACUACGUGCCAGCAGCCGCGGUAAGCAUUAGGUGGCAAGCGUUGUCCGGAAUUAUUGGGCGUAAAGCGCGCGCAGGCGGUUCCUUAAGUCUGAUGUGAAAGCCCACGGCUCAACCACCA